rnacentral:lncRNA from 1 species
GUCAAUCUGAUCUUGAAGCCAUUUGCUGUAAGACGAGGGUCACACAGCAGGGCUUCCUCCACUCUGUAUGGGUUCAGUAACAUGACAUCGGCUCUGGACGUGACCAGCCACGAAUCAGGAAACUUGAGACUGUGGAUCAGAGACCCUCCUGUGUGCUUAGGAUAAACUCCAAACAGAGCACAGAAAUCGGCCCCUGAAAAGCAGUCAAAAGCAAAUGAGAAAGGACUGUACUUGCAUCCAUGAAGCCCGACCCAGCAUAAGCAGGUGGGAGCUGCAGGAAUCAGCUAGGAGAUGGAAGGCACUUAUUACUCUGUAUCAUCAGAACACAGAUCCUUGCUUCCAGAACAACUUAAAAUCGAGAGAAAAUCCCAUGUGUGAGAGCUCUCGGGAAAACAUUAAAACGCUAAUGAACUGAACAGAGUUUCCAUUACUUCUAGUGCAGAAGAAACAGAACCUGGUGUCUGAGUUACAUGUGGGGCUUGGUAAACAUCUUGACCUUUAAUUUAAAACUUGAAGAGUGCCAUAUGUUAGGUGGAAAACCCCUAAACCCUAG